AAUGAACGCUGGCGGCGUGCUUAACACAUGCAAGUCGAACGAGAAAUCUACCUUCGGGUGGAAAGUACAGUGGCAGACGGGUGAGUAACGUGUGAGCGACCUACCUUCGAGUGGGGGACAACUGGCCGAAAGGCCCGCUAAUACCGCAUGACAUUCCUUUGACUAAAGAAAAGGAAUCAAAGUUAGGGAUCCUUCGGGACCUGAUGCUUGAAGAGGGGCUUGCAUCUGAUUAGCUAGUUGGUGGGGUAAUGGCUCACCAAGGCGACGAUCAGUAGCCGACCUGAGAGGGUGAUCGGCCACACUGGAACUGAGACACGGUCCAG
rnacentral:rRNA from 1 species